rnacentral:rRNA from 1 species
AUUGAACGCUGGCGGCAGGCCUAACACAUGCAAGUCGAACGGUAACAGGAAGAAGCUUGCUUCUUUGCUGACGAGUGGCGGACGGGUGAGUAAUGUCUGGGAAACUGCCUGAUGGAGGGGGAUAACUACUGGAAACGGUAGCUAAUACCGCAUAACGUCGCAAGACCAAAGAGGGGGACCUCCGGGCCUCUUGCCAUCGGAUGUGCCCAGAUGGGAUUAGCUAGUAGGUGGGGUAACGGCUCACCUAGGCGACGAUCCCUAGCUGGUCUGAGAGGAUGACCAGCCACACUGGAACUGAGACACGGUCCAGACUCCUACGGGAGGCAGCAGUGGGGAAUAUUGCACAAUGGGCGCAAGCCUGAUGCAGCCAUGCCGCGUGUAUGAAGAAGGCCUUCGGGUUGUAAAGUACUUUCAGCGGGGAGGAAGGGAGGAAAGUUAAUACCUUGGCUCAUUGACGUUACCCGCAGAAGAAGCACCGGCUAACUCCGUG